CCUUGAGUUUGAUCAUGGCUCAGAUUGAACGCUGGCGGCAGGCUUAACACAUGCAAGUCGAGCGGAGUGAUGGUGCUUGCACUAUCACUUACCGGCGGACGGGUGAGUAAUGCUUAGGAAUCUGCCAUUUAGUGGGGGACAACAUUCCGAAAGGAAUGCUAAUACCGCAUACGUCCUACGGGAGAAAGCAGGGGAUCUUCGGACCUUGCGCUAAAUGAUGAGCCUAAGUCGGAUUAGCUAGUUGGUGGGGUAAAGGCCUACCAAGGCGACGAUCUGUAGCGGGUCUGAGAGGAUGAUCCGCCACACUGGGACUGAUACACGGCCCAGACUCCUACGGGAGGCAGCAGUGGGGAAUAUUGGACAAUGGGCGGAAGCCUGAUCCAGCCAUGUUUUUUUUGUGAAGAAGGCCUUUUGGUUGUAAAGCACUUUAAGCGAGGAGGAGGCUCUCCUAGUUAAUACCUAGGAAGAGUGGACGUUACUCGCAGAAUAAGCACCGGCUAACUCUGUGCCAGCAGCCGCGGUAA
rnacentral:rRNA from 1 species